rfam:Stegodyphus mimosarum contig111113, whole genome shotgun sequence.
GCCUUCGUGGUGUAGUGGUCAGCACGCUCGACGCGUAACCGAGAGGUCCGUGGUUCGAUUCCCGGUGAAGGCA